rnacentral:rRNA from 1 species
AGUGAACGCUGGCGGUAGGCCUAACACAUGCAAGUCGAACGGCAGCACAGUAAGAGCUUGCUCUUACGGGUGGCGAGUGGCGGACGGGUGAGGAAUACAUCGGAAUCUACUUUUUCGUGGGGGAUAACGUAGGGAAACUUACGCUAAUACCGCAUACGACCUACGGGUGAAAGCAGGGGAUCUUCGGACCUUGCGCGAUUGAAUGAGCCGAUGUCGGAUUAGCUAGUUGGCGGGGUAAAGGCCCACCAAGGCGACGAUCCGUAGCUGGUCUGAGAGGAUGAUCAGCCACACUGGAACUGAGACACGGUCCAGACUCCUACGGGAGGCAGCAGUGGGGAAUAUUGGACAAUGGGCGCAAGCCUGAUCCAGCCAUACCGCGUGGGUGAAGAAGGCCUUCGGGUGGUAAAGCCCUUUUGUUGGGAAAGAAAAGCAGCAGGUUAAUACCCCGCUGUUCUGACGGUACCCAAAGAAUAAGCACCGGCUAACUUCGC